ensembl:lncRNA
GUGGAGAAGCCAUGCAAGUCAUUUUAUGACCUUGUCUUUAAGCUAUGGUUAAUCACUGUAGGCAACAACUAAUUUUUCUCAUGGCUGAUCCUUCAAAAUAUACAUGGGGAAAACUGGAAAGUGCAGCAGACUGUGGAAAUCUACUUCUCUGGACAGAGCCUUCUGACAGUUCCACAAUGAAGACAAACGCAUACGCAGAGAGAGAUGUCAGAGUGGAAAAGCUCCUGAAAUGAGACCUAUCAGCUAACUG